rnacentral:lncRNA from 1 species
ACCUGCGCGGCGAGCAUAGUCUAGUUGACAACGGCUAAGCAGCUACUAUAGCUGCAAUUCUGGCUCGCACCUUUACCCCUGGCUCCACGCGUGUCUUCUUCGAGCAGCCCUGCCCGCGCUUGCCUCCUAUCCCUUUGCCGCUGUGUGGACGCGGCUGCCAAGUAAGAGUUGGGGCGACGUCAGGGGGACACCCAGGCAGACUGGGGCCCUGACCUCCAGUAUCCCGCUUAGCCGCUGUGGCGCUCCAGCCCUUCUGCUCUCCUGGCAGUUCCGCUGGGCUGAGGACGCGAGAGACAGGAAGGAAAGUAGCCCGGGCUGCCUCUGCUUAUGGGCGGGGUUCAGAGUUAUAGAAACUUAGAGACCCCUGAUUGUGCCGGCUGCACACUCCCAUAGGAGCCCCGCAAACGGCUGGUCUGGUGGCCUGAGGACCCCUGGCGUAACUGGCGCGGCGGCCUUCCCAGGGACUCAGUGGGCGGCGGGCGCUGGGCGGGGGUGCCCAGUCUGCCCUCCUUCUACUUCGGGGGACAUUUCCAGGAAGGCUUCAGCCCCAUGGACUUUUCCGUCGGCCCCUGCCUCACUGCCUUCCCACCUGGACAACUCCGGAGAGUGAGCUGUUCUCAGGGUAGCUGUGCAGAGCGAGUUAAUCAAUACUUCUGAAUAAGUCGCUGGGACUCAGUUUGCCAGGAGGUCUCACAGAAGUUUAGAUUAGAAAAGCUCAGACGAAAGGCUAUUAGAUGGAAGUUUGGGGGAGCUCUAACUUGGGUAGUCUCAAUGUCUCUUCCAACACUUGCUCAAGUUCAGCACUGAAUUACCACUCAGGAAACCGGGGUUCCGCCAGUCCUUAUGACCUCAGGCGGGUCAUGCUUUCCUGAGUGACAAGUGUUUUCAAUGGCAUCUCAAUUGGCAGCUAGAUUUCUGUAUCAGAAGGACCCCGGUUUCUUCAGCUCUGAUACUGGCUAACUUGGUGCCUGGGCCCAGUCUUUUAAACCAGUAAGUAAAGAAAGAUGGUCUCUGAGACACUUGGGUGACUGGAGGUAGGCAGUCAGCGGCUCCUAUGAUGGUUAUGCAGCUAGAUUAGCUGGAAAACUACUGUGGGGUAGAUGGCAAACUGAAUGUGAGGAGGGGCAGGACUUUUUUUUCCCCAGACACCAGGUUUCUCACUUUGGGGACCCCAGAGAUUGCACUUAGACAUGGUAUUCAGGCAAAGGACUGACUGGUGUCCUAGUUUGCUUGGGUCUCACUCAGCGCACCCAGUAAUCCUGGGAGAAGAGGGUAAUGAAUCACCCAGGGCUAUUUUCAAACCUUGACUCCUGCUGCAGUUCUAGCGCCCACGCCCACUCGGAGGGUUUCAGUCCCUGCCUGUGCCAUCAGUAUUCUUGCUGUCUGGGUUUCCUCUAGCCUUCCCUUCUUGGAAUGAAAGGGAGACAUUUCUUUCUUGGGGGACUGGAGGUGAGCAGCCCAAGGCACAAGUGGUGUCUAGGUGAGUGGUCGAGUGGGAGAGGUGGAGAUAAAGUUUUUAUCCUGAAGUUGUAGCUGCCAUUUCGCUGGGUAGCUGGUGUUGGUCCUUACUUCAGAGUGUUGGUCUUUCUUUUCGCCCAGGUUCCCGACUUGGAAUUUCUGUUCCUUGAACCUCUAUAGUUAUUGCUGAGAGAUGCCAUACUGAACAGAGGCUGUUUGCCCCUGGUCGCUUACCCUCAUUCCACAGUGCUAAGGGAUCUUUGAAGAAUGCCAGGCCUCUGUGUACGUCUGAGCUUCUGCCUUCAGGAGAGGCUGCCAGGAGAUGAUAUCUGAAGAUGUAAAGAUGGCACAGUGGCUAUGCACCUUGUGUGGAUGCAAAGGAAGGGACAACGAGUCUUGUAAAGAUGAUGGCCUUAAUAUGUUCAAGGCUGGAGCAGAGGAGCAAAAGAAAGGGGGUUACCAAGAGGGCCAAACUGGCCUUCAGUCUUAUCUUUAUUAAUUUUUAGUUAAUGAGCAAAAUAAUGAAUGCCACUAUAGUAUUUCCAUACAUGCAUGCUGUUGUACUUUGCUCAUAAUCACUCCUCUGCCACCUCUUGCUCCCCCCAUAUGUAUUGACAUUUUAAAAAAAAAUCCAUUUUGGAGACUACAGAUUGGAAUGGGAGCACAGGACAUCUGCAGCCAGGUAUAAGCAUAGCAGCAGGAUACACCGGCAAGACAGUCACAGGGGAAGGAGGGGCAGUCUCGGGUUGGGAUGCCGCUUUGCCUUUUGUUAGCUAACUUCUGCAGCAUCCUUGUUCCAGCCCUGGAUAAUGUGUGUUCCGUGAAUGGCAAGUUCUUGGGGAAGGAUGGAAAAGAGGGUCCUCAUCUGAAAGAAGGGGUUACUUUAUUCUUGAGUUAAAAAGAUAACUUUUUUCUUUUCUCUUUCCUCCCCCCCCCCUUUUCCCCAAUUUGGGUAGGAUCAAACCUUAGGCCACUUGGCUGCCCAGUGUGGAGUUGUCAGAGAUUUCAGGGCUUGGAAUAGGAGACCUAUCUAUGUGCAUCAAUGUGUUAAAGUCUUCGAGGACCUGGGGCUGGGGGGUUGUUUUCUUUUGUUGUUGGGAUGUGGGGAUGGAACCCUUGGUCUGAUGCAUUCUAAGCUAGUACUGAGAUCCACCCCUAACCAUUGGUAAGUUUUAUAGUCCCUCUCACCCCACAACCCCAGGUGAGAUGUUUGAGCACUGUGCUGGUCAUGCAGUUGUUGGUGACAAAGGUUUAUUAAUGCUUUCCUAAUUUGUGACUCGGGGGCUUGGAGUGUGCAUGUGCGUGUGCUUUUAUGUACAUGGGUCCUUGUCGGAAUGAGUCAGUGCAGUAGAGGUCUCCAGUCUGCGCCAUAGUCACAAGUCUGAAAUGCUGAGUUUGUGUAUUGAGUUUCCUCUGGUGUGGUCCUCCAUAGUGGGGACUUGCACGCUGAGCACUUGCUGUUCCGGUUUAUCCCAGCCACAAGCAGGGAUUUCAGAAUCCACUGUUAAGUGCCUUAGCAGUCCAGGGUGUCCCAGAACAAAGAACAAGGGAUUGGAGGUCUAAAUCCAGUCUCUGUUGUUCUCUCCACACUGUCACCCCUCGGGUGGCUUUCUUCUUUGUACUUCACCGGAUUAAACAAGGGGAUCAAUAGCUAAGUGCUUUGUAAGCUACAAAAGGCUAGGGCUAGCUAGUUCUCAGGAAGGACCCAUGGUUCUGACACCCACUAUUGGGAAAUCCGCCAUCCAGUUGAGGGGUUUAGUGGCCUGAGACACUCCUCAUUGAGGACUUAAAAAUAUUAUUAAAAAAUUAAGCAUAUUUUUAAAAGGGAAGCAAUCAGUGUAAUUAGGGCUCAAGAACCAUAUAGUCCCACCUACUGCUUUUCUUGUUACUUUGAAACAAAUCUCAGACUUGUGUGUUAUCAAAUUGAACUAAAAAUAGACCAGUGUAUCUUUCUAAAAGAGAAAGGACUUGCAGCAAAAUAACCACAGUGUCAGCUAUCACACCAAACCUAGUCCCCUAGUGUCACCCGAAGUGUGGUUAGUAGUCACAUUUCCAGUUGUUUUGCCCUGGAGUUCAGACCAGGGGGAAUUGCUGAGGAGGAGGUGACUGACAAGUAGGAGACAUUUGAUCUGGGCUGCAGAACACAGGCUAGAGGGAUUAUAGAGCUCGGGCCUCUUCAUUUUCCAGAUGCCACAUUGCCAGUAGCAGAUGUGAGCUGCUCUGGGGCUCCUGAUCCCGCGGCUGACUUGUAGAAGCUUCUUGCAGAAACUUCAGAAACUCCUGGCCUUCAUUCCUGAAGUAGCAAAAGAGAGAUUGAAUUCCCACUUGACUCCUGUGCUAGGGGCCACCCAAGAGUUUGAGGUCAACAGGCCUGGGAGAAUUCCUAGGAGGUUGCUCUCUUUCUCCAGGCCCCUCCCCGGCUCCAGGACCCCGAGGCCAAUUUGAAGCAAAACAGGAUGCAUCCAGGAUGAGCGCCUUUUCCAGCUUGUCAUCUAAUCACCAAGGCCCAGCUUGGAGCUUCCUCUUUCAUUUAUG